CAGAGUGGUGAGGUCAGGAGGUCCCCAACCCAUGGCCCAGGUCCAAACCCUGGCUCUCUCCGACUAGUUCUGUGACCUUUAUGGGCCUCUGUACAAUAGUGCUUGUGUCAUUGGGCACUCACUACAGUGGUUGGUGCAAGUAAGUGUGGUUAGUGUAUCACCAUUGAUGUUAUCCCACCACUGGCCUGGCGGGUCAGGCCCCUUCCCUGGAACUUGGCCCCAUGUGCCAGUGGGGAUGGGGGGCUUGUGGUCCUAGGGUCCCUCUGGCUUUGUAAUGUUAGGUAGCUAGAGUUCUCAUCUCCUGAUCCCAUGGCCCCUGCCAUGGGUGUCCUCGGUGGUGAGAAGGGAUUGGGCCCCUCCCCACCCGAGAAGGCAAGCACUCUAAGGCUAUCUCUUCUGCUGUCACUAAGGCCACCUCUGGGGAGAGCACAGGCUUGAGGGUGGGUGUUUGUGAUUGCCCCGAAUCCCGGAAGUCCAGCCCACUGAAUAAGCGAGGGCAUGGUGAGUCACACUGGUCCUGUCACCCCAGUGCCCUGUCAUUAACCUCAUUUCCGAAAUGAUUUGCUUGAGAUGGGCCCCUGAUGGCUCCAAAUUUAAUUGGUGUGUGGUCAUUUAAGGGGUAGCAGAAUCUCCCUAGAGAACCCUUGGGGGUUCUCUCCUUACCACCCCUGCUCUGCCCGCCCAGGCUGCUGAGGAAACCACAUGGCUAAGGCAGCGGUGGCAGGCCAGGCGGUCCUGGUUCCCUGGGGCAUGGCUCCACUUUCUGUGAGCAUUGCCGUCCUGGAACAGGGCCUCUUCCUGCUGCCUGGUAGGCUCAGCCUGCCCCAGCCAGGCCGCCCUGGCACCCUGGGUUCCCUCGCUCGGCCACUGUGGGGGGUGCCUCCCUAGAAGAUUCACCCUGCCUCCGUGACCCAUGGGGCCCCCACGGCCAUGCCCAAGACAAGGCUGAAGCCAGCCCAUAGAGCCUGCAGGAAAGUCAUUAGGAAGUGCAUCCUGUGCCAACCCCUCCUCCUGCCAGGAGCUACCCGUGUGGAAACACUCUCCCAAGAACCUAUUUAUAGAGCAAGGCCAGUAGUUGUUUUCACUUUAGGUGAGGCCAUCUAGAGCCCUGUCCGCCUGGAGUGCUGCUUGUGGCAGACACUUCUGCCCCUGCCCGCUCUCUCCUGCCACCCAUGAGAAAUCGGAACGCUGGUACAAGGAACACUGGCAGGAGAGGAAGUGAUGUCUUCCUACGGCUUCCUUUUCUCAGCCCUAAGCUUCUCUUUUAGGCACCAGCGUGUGUUCCUGAAAGUGGGACUUUGGCAUCUUUUUGUGGGUACCCAGUGGGCAGAGGCCUGGCCUGCAGAAGCCAAGGCCCAUGCUGAGCAGUGUCACUCAGCCACACAUACUGACGCCAGCCCUUGUCCAUCUCCAUGCUUCCCAGCUUGGCAUCUGGACUCAACUUUGAAGUCAGGACUGACUUCAGAGCCAUGAGCGGCCGGAGCACCUGGGCCCACAUUUAUCCAGCCCAUGUUGUCGUCUUGGUCUCCAGCCUGGCUGAGGCCAUAUGUGCUCUGCAGAUGCCCUACCCACCUGGUAUCUUCUUCCAGACCUCCGCCCUCCCUGGCUAGGCUUGGGCAGGGUCCUUGCCUUGACCUGGAAGGUCUCUCUAGAACCAUCCAGCUCCCUCAGAGGUUCCCAUGGUGCCCACGCCACCUCUGCACUGGGCCCCUCAAACUCUGACUCCAGCCACAGCCACCCCAAAGGCAUGUCCUCGUGCCCAAGGUUGGAAUGGGAGUGCUGGCCAUGCUCUCUAGGGCCAUCACAUCCACCCUCUCCACCCCAGCUCAGGUCCCAGAACCUCCCUCCUAAGACAACUUGCUCCUGGAUUUGUUCCUCAGAAGCCUCUGAAACUUGAAGCAAGAGAAGCAACGUAAUUAGUGCUCCCUGGCCUUCCAGGCAGCAGCACUCAUGCACCUGCUAACUGGAAACAGAAGGUACUUUCUGUCGCAGAGGCCAGCAAUGGCCCAUAUCUAGGCUGCUGCCCUGAGCCGCCUUGGCUGAAACCGUGAAGCUGACCUGUGCUCCCAGGGCUGCCCCUGCUUCUUGGGGUUGGGUCCAGCUCCCCAGGUAAUUACAGUGUGUCCAGGAAUAGGGCCACUGUGAAGCCCCACCGUGGCCCUUUGAGAGGUAUCCCGAAAUCUCCUGUUGGGGAUAAAUGCCUCUGGUUUAGGGGAGUCUUAGUUCCGUGGUCCCCUCUGGUGGGGAAUGGAAGCCUCAGGCUGGGGCGGGUCAGGUGAGCAUACCUCCAGCCGCCCCAGCUUCAGGCCUCCCCACCUCUUAGGCCAUCUGGAGCGAGACCCUCAAGGAGCCAAGACCUGCUGAGAUGUUGCCUGCUCACUUCCUACCUGGUCUCCCACUUCUGCCCCCAGCCCACCCCAUCUGUUCUCAACACAGCCAGAGUCUGCUGAGAUGCAAGAGUAAAAACCACACCUGCCUUCUCACUGUUCCUUGGACACACCAGGCACAUUCCAGCCCCAGGGCCUUUGCACCUGCUGUUCCUGCUGCUGGGAAUACUCUGACUUCACCUCUCUGUGCCUCGGCCUCCUCAUCCAUAACAUGGGGUAAGAGCAAAAGUGACCCCAUAAGACUGCUGGGAAGACUUGCCGAGACAAUUCACACAAAGCGCUAAGAGCUGGCACUGUCCCUGCUGGACUGCAAUCGGUGGCCCAGGGAGAUGGGUGGGAAUGGGAGCUGAUUACCAGCUGGCUACAAGGCCCACUCCAGGCUCAGCCUCAGCUGCUCGGCUGGGCCAACCUGGGGCUCAACCAGUGCUCCUGGGAGUGGGAGCCAUUGUGCCCUGUAAGGCCCUUGGACUUUGCUCAGUAACUGCCAUGGGUCUUGCUCACUGGACACCCCACCCCACGUGCCCGCGUGACUCCUGCACAGCCUUUUCCUAUUGAGGCUUCCAACCACCAGGCCAAGCCAGGUGCCUCACCCAGCCCUACAGGACAGGGUGCGAGAGUGGGGCCGCCUCUCUGCCGGUUGCUGGCUGAGAGAGGCAGAGGUGGUGUCAGGGCAGGAGGGAUCAGUGGCCUCGAGGCACCAUGGCCUCUCGGGUAGGGUGCAGGUGGCUGGGCUGGAUUCAAAUGUGCAUCUCACUGUUGGCUGGCCGAUGAGAUGUGGGGUGGCUUUCUCAUGCCCCCACAGACCCUCCCACCCACCUGGUUCUAUCCUGCCCCAGCUAGUGGCUCUGAACCCCAGCCAAGCAGAGCAAGGGAUUUGGGCUUUUUCUGUCUGAAGGAGAGGAGUAGGCCUCUAAGGGGCCUCUCCCACCACUCCCACAGCAGACCACUGGCCUGGGGGCCUCCUGCAGGGGCCUGUGUGCCUGGCAGCCAACCUUGCUGGGGAUGAGCACCAGAACGCCUGGGGAUAACGUCUUCUCCUCCCACCUCCUGCUCCCCUCCUCCCUCUCCCUUCCUCCUCCCUUUCUUCCUCCUCCUCCACAAACACAUGUUUCCAAUUCCCUCUCAGGCCCCCUCUCCCUUCCCCAGCCCCUUCCCAUUUCCUCUCUGAGGCAUCCACUAGCAUGUGGAACUCAUUAGGAGACCCUCAGGGCUCGUAACCCAACUCUGGCCCGGGCUUGGGGAGGGGGCCCUGUCCGCAGCCCCCAUGCUGAGCCACAGAGGCUUCCCCACGUCUGGCCCCUGUCUGGCCCUGUGCAGUCACAGGCUGGAAAGCACAAGGAGCCAGCCGGUGCCAGUGGAGGAAGCAUGGCCUGGCGGCCAGCUCAUCUCACUCCUCUCCUCUCCAGCCGCAUCCUGGCGCCUGGUGAGACAUCUUAGCCCCAGCAGCUGGGCCAGGGUGGUUUCUGAUCCCACCGGGGCAGCUGGACCUGUGUGUGAAAAGCAGAUCCCAGGGCCACUUGAGCAGGCCCAAGGGUAUGGAGUUCUGAGUGACGAACUCGAUGGCCCUCAGCUUCCCAUCUGAAAAACGGGAACGGAAGUCCAGGGAAGAGAAUAUGGUACGUAGAACAGCCACCAGGCAACAGAGUUCCACAUCCUCCCUAGAGGACACAGCGAAGGCCCGGUUCCAUGGGCUGUUAGCGGAGGUUAUGCAAAACAAACUGGUGCUAUGGUCACCAGGAUUUGGGAAAUGCCAGGAUGAACAAAGUAAAGACAACUACUUCCCUGAA